AGUGWCGAACGGKUMAGUAAUCCGUGGRAAUCUGCCCUGUAGUGGGGGAUAACCCGGGGAAACUCGGGCUAAUACCGCAUAUAUCCUAUGGGAGAAAGGGGGCCUCUGUUUACAUGCUCUUGCUACGGGAUGAGCCCACGUCCGAUUAGCUUGUUGGUGGGGUAAAGGCCUACCAAGGCGACGAUCGGUAGCUGGUCUGAGAGGAUGAUCAGCCACACUGGGACUGAGUCACGGCCCAGACUCCUACGGGAGGCAGCAGUGGGGAUUAUUGGGCAAUGGGCGCACGUGRAUUCCAGCAAUGCCGCGUGUGUGAAGAAGGCCUGCGGGUUGUAAAGCACUUUCGGUGGGGAAGAAGAGCUGAGGGUUAAUACCUCUUAGUUGUGACGUUACCCACAGAAGAAGCACCGGCUAACUCCGUGCCAGCAGCCGCGGUAAUACGGAGGGUGCGAGCGUUAAUCGGAAUGACUGGGCGUAAAGGGCGCGUAGGSGGCUUKAUAAGUCAGAUGUGAAAUCCCYGGGCUUACCCUGGGAAUGGCAUUUGAUMCUGUUGGGCUAGAGUGUGGUAGAGGGGGGUGGAAUYCCAGGUGUAGCGGUGAAAUWCGUAGAGAUCUGGAGGAACACCGGUGACGAAGGCGACCCCCUGGGCCAUGACUGACGCUGAGGUGCGAAACGUGGGRAGCAAAWRGGAUUAGAUMCCCUGGUAGUCCACGCUGUAAACGAUGUCGACUAGCCGUUGGAUCCAUUUUGGGGUUGAGUGGCGCAGCAAACGCGAUAAGUCGACCGCCUGGGGAGUACGGCCGCAAGGUUAAAACUCAAAGGAAUUGACGGGGGCCCGCACAAGCGGUGGAGCAUGUGGUUUAAUUCGAUGCAACGCGAAGAACCUUACCAGCCCUUGACAUCCCAAGAAUCCUGCUGAGARGUGGGAGUGCCUUCGGGAGCUUGGAGACAGGUGCUGCAUGGCUGUCGUCAGCUCNUGUCGUGAGAUGUUGGGUSAAGUCCCGUAACGAGCGCAACCCUUGKCCUUAGUUGCCAGCGAGUGAUGUCGGGCACUCUAAGGAGACUGCCGGUGAUAAACCGGAGGAAGGUGGGGAUGACGUCAAGUCAUCAUGGCCCUUAUGGGCUGGGCUACACACGUGCUACAAUGGUCGGUACAAAGGGUUGCGAGCCCGCGAGGGGGAGCCAAUCCCAGAAAACCGGUCGUAGUCCGGAUUGCAGUCUGCAACUCGACUGCAUGAAGUCGGAAUCGCUAGUAAUCGCGAAUCAGCAUKUCGCGGUGAAUACGUUCCCSGGCCUUGUACACACCGGCCGUCACACCAUGGGAGUUG
rnacentral:rRNA from 1 species